CUUGACAGCUGCCAUUUAGUUUUAAUUCCUGUCAGAAGAUCCUGUUGGAGGAUGCCAGAGCAACAUCCUGGCCAGACAUGGGACCAGGUCCAGUGUAGCCCAAAGCCUUUCCAUUUUAAUGAUGUUCUGAAACAGAGCGAAACCUUUAUGGCAUUUGUGUGGGGGAUGGAGAGAAUAACCAACAGAAUCAAAGAGGCAGAGGAUGCCUGUCAACUGUUUUCUAACUAACUGAAGAGAGGUAGCAGUAAACAGCUUUGCUGUCUGGAGUGGAGUCUUUCAAGCUGGAAAGGGCUGAAGAUAAGCAGCAUCCAACUGAGCUGAUC